UGGGGAAUUGUUCACAAUGGGCGCAAGCCUGAUGACGCAACGCCGCGUGGGGGAUGAAGGUCUUCGGAUUGUAAACCCCUGUCGAGCGGGACGAACGGCUCACGAGCUAAUCAUCGUGAGAGUGACGGUACCGCUAAAGGAAGCCACGGCUAACUCUGUGCCAGCAGCCGCGGUAAUACAGAGGUGGCAAGCGUUGUUCGGAAUUACUGGGCGUAAAGGGCGUGUAGGCGGCUUUUUAAGUCAGACGUGAAAUCCCCCGGCUUAACCUGGGAACUGCGUCUGAUACUGGGAAGCUAGAGUUCGGGAGAGGGAUGUAGAAUUCCAGGUGUAGCGGUGAAAUGCGUAGAUAUCUGGAGGAAUACCGGUGGCGAAGGCGGCAUCCUGGACCGAAACUGACGCUUAAGCGCGAAAGCUAGGGGAGCAAACGGGAUUAGAUACCCCGGUAGUCCUAGCCCUAAACGAUGAAUGCUUGGUGUGGCGGGUAUCGAUCCCUGCCGUGCCGAAGCUAACGCAUUAAGCAUUCCGCCUGGGGAGUACGGUCGCAAGGCUGA
rnacentral:rRNA from 1 species